rnacentral:RNase_P_RNA from 1 species
AAACGAACUGUGCCGGGAGCACGGUGAACCCGAAAGGGGGAGGUUUCCCGAACGCAGCUGGAACGAGCAACCCCGCUGGAGCAAGUCCAAGCAGGCCCGUAUGGCAUCGACAGGGCCGGGUAGGAUGCAUAGUUGAAUGCGGCCAACCGAAAGGUGAACAGAAAGGGGCUUACUCCCUGCACCC